rnacentral:sRNA from 1 species
UGUAAUGUGGUGUAUGUAAAUGCGUACC